GACGAACGCUGGCGGCGUGCUUAACACAUGCAAGUCGAACGGAAAGGCCCUGCUUUUGUGGGGUGCUCGAGUGGCGAACGGGUGAGUAACACGUGAGUAACCUGCCCUUGACUUUGGGAUAACUUCAGGAAACUGGGGCUAAUACCGGAUAGGAGCUCCUGUUGCAUGGUGGGGGUUGGAAAGUUUCGGCGGUUGGGGAUGGACUGGCGGCUUAUCAGCUUGUUGGUGGGGUAGUGGCUUACCAAGGCUUUGACGGGUAGCCGGCCUGAGAGGGUGACCGGCCACAUUGGGACUGAGAUACGGCCCAGACUCCUACGGGAGGCAGCAGUGGGGAAUAUUGCACAAUGGGCGGAAGCCUGAUGCAGCAACGCCGCGUGCGGGAUGACGGCCUUCGGGUUGUAAACCGCUUUCGCCUGUGACGAAGCGUGAGUGACGGUAAUGGGUAAAGAAGCACCGGCUAACUACGUG
rnacentral:rRNA from 1 species